rnacentral:rRNA from 1 species
AUGGCUUUUGACAUGACAUCCUCGCAAACUUCAAUGACAAGGUCAAGCAAUUUAAUAGCUAAUAUCCAUUUGAUAGCUAAUGGUAAGCACAGAAAGAGGCGUAUCUUUCAGCUUGAACAAGACGAGGGCACUAUUUUAGGACAGGAUAACCUAAAAACAUAUAUUACCGAGUAUUACAAGCAGUUAUUUGGACCUCCGGAGGAUAAUUGUGUGUCCCUCGAUGAGUCCAGGACCGAGGAUGUGCCUCAGCUAUCGGCUGCCGAAAAUGAUAUUCUGGUUGCCCCGUUCUCAGAGAAGGAGGUCUUUGAUGCUAUUGCACAAAUGAAAAACAAUAAG